rnacentral:rRNA from 1 species
AACGAACGCUGGCGGCAUGCCUAACACAUGCAAGUCGAACGAGACCUUCGGGUCUAGUGGCGCACGGGUGCGUAACGCGUGGGAACCUGCCCUUAGGUUCGGAAUAACUCCCCGUAAGGGGUGCUAAUACCGGAUAAUUUCUUCGGACCAAAGAUUUAUCGCCCUUGGAUGGGCCGGCGUUGGAUUAGCUAGUUGGUAGGGUAAAAGCCUACCAAGGCGACGAUCCAUAGCUGGUCUGAGAGGAUGAGCAGCCACACUGGGACUGAGACACGGCCCAGACUCCUACGGGAGGCAGCAGUGGGGAAUAUUGGACAAUGGGCGAAAGCAUGAUCCAGCAAUGCCGCGUGAGUGAUGAAGGCCUUAGAGUUGUAAAGCUCUUUUACACGGGAUGAUAAUGACAGUACCGGGAGAAUAAGCUCCGGCUAACUCCGUG